rnacentral:tRNA from 1 species
UCCCAAGUGGCUCAAUGGGUAAAGAAUCUGCCUGCAAGGCAGGAGACUUGGGUUCGAUCCCUGGGUUGGGAA